rnacentral:rRNA from 1 species
AAUAAUACCGGAUAGAUCACAACGCCUGGAACGGUGUGUGGUUGAAAGGUUACGGCAUAGGAUGGGUCUGCGGCGUAUCAGGUUGUAGGGGGUGUAAUGGACCCCCUAGCCAUCGACGCGUACGGGUGUUGGGAGACAUAGCCCGGAGACGGAUUCUGAGACACGAAUCCGGACCCUACGGGGUGCAGCAGGCGCGAAAACUUCACACUGCAGGAAACUGUGAUGAGGGAACUCCAAGUGGAUGCACAUAGUGUAUCUCUUUUCUUUACUAUUAAUCGGUAUUGGAAUAAGGGCUGGGAAAGACCGGUGCCAGCCGCCGCGGUAAUACCGGCAGCUCGAGUGGUCGUCGCUUUUAUUGGGCCUAAAACGUCCGUAGCCGGUUUGGUAAAUCUGUGGGUAAAUCAACUAGCUUAACUAGUUGAAUUCUGCAGAGACUGCCAGACUAGGAACCGGGAGAGGUGUGGGGUACUCAAGGGGUAGGGGUAAAAUCCUGUCAUCCUUUGAGGACCACCAGUUGCGAAGGCGCCACACUAGAACGGAUUCGACGGUCAGGGACGAAGCCUAGGGGCACGAACCGGAUUAGAUACCCGGGUAGUCCUAGGUGUAAACGCUGUGAACUU